rnacentral:rRNA from 1 species
CCCACGGGUGGCAGCAGUGGGGAAUAUUGCACAAUGGGGGAAACCCUGAUGCAGCGAAGCCGCGUGAGUGAUGAAGUAUUUCGGUAUGUAAAGCUCUAUCAGCAGGGAAGAAAAUGACGGUACCUGACUAAGAAGCCACGGCUAACAACGUGCCGGCAGCCGCGGUAAUACGUAGGGGGCAAGCGUUAUCCGGAUUUACUGGGUGUAAAGGGAGCGUAGACGGCUAAUCAAGUCAGGAGUGAAAACCCAGGGCCUAAAUUUGGGACUGCCUUUGAAACUGAGUAGCUAGAGUGCAGGAGAGGUAAGUGGAAUUCCUGGUGUAGCGGUGAAAUGCGUAGAUAUUAGGAGGAACACCAGUGGCGAAGGCGGUUUACUGGACUGUAACUGACGUUGAGGCUCGAAAGCGUGGGGAGCAAACAGGAUUAGAUACCCCAGUAGUC